AGCCUCUGGUUAUGGGGGGCUUCACUUCAGUUGAGUCAGAUGGAGGAUGGGAAGGGGAAGCUGCCCAAGGGGCAGGCCUGGGGUGGAGGCAAAUGCACAGGGAGGACAGCAGACCUCCAAGGGUACUACUUGAUGCAGCAUGGAAAGAGGCUGAGCUUGGCAGUCAAGGCCCUGGGUUUAAUCUGACUUCUCCAAUUACAAGAGGGCCUUCCAGGCUCCAGAGACACUUCUGAUUCUGGCUUUCCUUACCAUAGCCCCUCAGAGCUGAGGCGCCGGGCCCCAGCUGGAGACUGCCGCCCCACCUCAACCCCUCUUCUAGGGGCUGCAUUUGUCGGCCCAGGGCCCGCGGCCCCACCCUCAGGCUCUGGCGAGGAAGAUGGCCUUCCAUGGCUCCAGGUAUUUUUAAUCAUGGAGUGUUUAUGGAUCUGGAAUGGCGCGGGGCUCAGUGGGGGCUCUGCAGCUACUUUUUUCUUUUUCUGGGACAGUCAGCUAGGCGGGAAUUCCAGGCUGUGUGUAUUUAUGGAAGGCCAUGGCAGUCCUGAGAGAGGAGUGAUAUGCUGACCUGCAUUCUGGUGAGCUCCUGGGAGCCUACAGACUUCUCCCUCCCCUCUUCUGAGCCUGGUGCCCCAAACCCAGGACACUGUCCGGGGAAGAUGACUGAGCUGGGCAAGGAAGAGGGGAACUUGGCAGCAGAGCCUCUCAAAGGCCUGGCUUCUAAUCUGGCUUGUCACCCACCUCUGCCCCUGCCCCGUCUGCAGGUACUUGCAGAACGUCUCUUGUGGGCAGGCUGUGCUUUCUUCAACCUGGGGAAUUUGCUAAUCUCUGGAUUCACUUCGGGAGGGAACUGAGAGAGAGAUGGCAACAGGGCCCCUGGUGCAUGGGAGCACCCAGACACAAAGCGAAUGAUUAUUCCUGGCUGACAUCAGCAGCCCACUGCUGACUGUGUGAGCUGCUUUCCUUCCAGCCCCACCUGUGGCUCUGGCAGCCCCCAAAGGAAUAGCGAUGAGUAGCUGCAUGGGUCUUAGAUGCUGGUCGGCACGUGGCUGACCACCACCUCCCCACUGUUCUCAGGCCUUCUAGGUAUUAUCAGUCUGGGUACAACCAAGAUCUUUUACCCACUAAUCCCGCUGUUGCAGACAGGUGUGAAAAGAACAGAUAGCAGACAUCAUGGGGUGCUGAUUUAAUUACUACUCUUCAGAGCAGUCAGUUUGGGUCUGGAAAGCUCCUAAAGGCAGGUCUAUCUGUGAAACAAGAGCAGACAUUGUGAGUUUUAAAUAGGCGGCUGACAGCCCACGGUUGACAGUGAUGUCAGGCCCACCAGCUGGGCGGACUCCCCCCCUGCCGGGCUCGCUGUUCUUCCUCUCCUCAGGCGCGGGCCUCUGUGUGAGGAUGAGCCCAGGGCUGGUGAGGAGGCUGCGGCCUGGACGGGUAGGACGAGGCAGGGAAUCCCCCGUCAGAGGGGGCUGAGCCACGCGUUCCAGUGCCCAAAAGUUGUGGGUCCUUCCCAUUUAUCCACUCAACAAACAUUUAUUAAGCACCUUCUGCUUGCCAAACACUACUCUUCCCUGGGGCCACAAUGGUGAAUGGUGAACCUCAAGGUGACUGCUCAGACACCCUGUCUUCGCAAAACCUUGUUCUCCGGUGCACCUCCACUGGUGCCUGAAUAUGGCCAGGAGCUCACGGAGCAGGAGAAGGCUGUAUGCCACAGAGUCUUCUUCAGCACCGCACAGAGUUUGGGGUGCCCCAGACCUGAGCUGACUCCAGUGUUGGUCCUGGAGGAACCCAUUGAAGAAAUUUGUCCUCAAGCAAAUCUUGGCUGCCUCAGAGGAACCCAUAUGGCCUUUCGUGUGUGUGUGUGUGUGUGUGUGUGUGUGUGUGGUGUCCAUGCAUUAGCGUAAUUCCAUUUGUGUUUAAGCUAGAGGGAGUGCCUCGUUCCAUUUGUGUUUUGUUUUAAUCCUAAAUUGGGAUUAUUUUAUUUGUCUUGAUUAAAUUCAAAGCCUUG